rnacentral:rRNA from 1 species
GACGAACGCUGGCGGCGUGCUUAACACAUGCAAGUCGAACGGUAAGGCCCUUCGGGGUACACGAGUGGCGAACGGGUGAGUAACACGUGGGUGAUCUGCCCUGCACUUCGGGAUAAGCCUGGGAAACUGGGUCUAAUACCGGAUAGGACCACUGCCUGCAUGGGUGGUGGUGGAAAGCUUUUGCGGGGUGGGAUGGGCCCGCGGCCUAUUAGCUUGUUGGUGGGGUGAUGGGCUAGCAAGGCGAAGGAGGGUAGCCAGCCUGGGAGGGGGACCGGACACGAUGGUACUGAGGUACGGCCCAGACUCCUAGGGGAGGCAGCAGUGGGGAAGAUUGCCCAAUGGGCGCAAGCCUGAUGCAGCGACGCCGCGUGAGGGAUGACGGCCGUCGAGUUGUAAACCUCUUUCAGCACCGACGAAGCGCAAGUGACGGUAGGUGCAGAAGAAGGACCGGCCAACUACGUGCCAGCAGCCGCAGUAA